UACAAAAUACAAGUGUGUCGUAGGC
rnacentral:piRNA from 1 species